GAAACUGCGAAUGGCUCAUUAAAUCAGUUAUCGUUUAUUUGAUAGUACCUUACUACAUGGAUAACCGUGGUAAUUCCAGAGCUAAUACAUGCUAAAAAUCCCGACUUCGGAAGGGAUGUAUUUAUUAGAUUAAAAACCAAUGCCCUUCGGGGCUCUCUGGUGAUUCAUAAUAACUUCUCGAAUCGCACGGCCUUGCGCCGGCGAUGGUUCAUUCAAAUUUCUGCCCUAUCAACUUUCGACGGCUGGGUCUUGGCCAGCCGUGGUGACAACGGGUAACGGAGGGUUAGGGCUCGACCCCGGAGAAGGAGCCUGAGAAACGGCUACUACAUCCAAGGAAGGCAGCAGGCGCGCAAAUUACCCAAUCCCGACACGGGGAGGUAGUGACAAUAAAUACUGAUACAGGGCUCUUUCGGGUCUUGUAAUUGGAAUGAGUACAAUUUAAAUCCCUUAACGAGGAACAAUUGGAGGGCAAGUCUGGUGCCAGCAGCCGCGGUAAUUCCAGCUCCAAUAGCGUAUAUUAAAGUUGUUGAGGUUAAAAAGCUCGUAGUUGAACCUUGGGCCUAGCCGGCCGGUCCGCCUCAC
rnacentral:rRNA from 1 species